AAUGUAGCAUUUAAUGAAAAGUUAUAGUCACUAAAUAAAUUAUUUGAUUUGAUAGUAAAUAAAGGUCCGCGUCGGAUACAUGUACAAAUUAUGAUGUAAGUACUGCAAAGUUAAAUAGUUAGGAGUAAAACAGAAUGACCACUCAUUCCAACUUUAACUAAUUCACCCUCUACGGGUACGAGUCUUGGACUAUGCUAACGGAGGACGCCAAUGCACUCGCCAUUUUCGAACGGCGUGUGCUAAGGACUAUCUUUGGCGGUAUGUGCGAGCAGGGCAUAUGGAGAAGGAGGAUGAACCACGAGCUAACUGAGCUGUUUGGCGGUGCUGAUAUCCUGAUGGUCCUCAAAGCCAGAAGGAUACGAUGUCUGAGGCACGUGAUGAGGAUGCCGGACUUAUGCCCCACCAGGAAGGUGCUCGUCAGCAACACGUUCGGCACGAGGCGUAGAGGAACGAGCUCGUUGGCUGGAUCAGGUGGAGUCGAACCUGUCAGAGAUCGGAUGCAACUGUGGUUGGAGGACUGCAGCCCAGAACCGAGAUUCCUGGAAACGGAUUGGCGACCUAGCCAUGUCUUCUAGACGUGCUCGUACAUGAGCAGGCCAAGACGAAGAAGAAGAUUUAAACAAUCCUAUCGCCGUUCUAGUUCUAGGAAUGCAUAACUUCAAUACGAAACCAUACAACAGUGCAGGAGAAAUGAGAAAGCUCUCCUCCAAGCGAGGAAGCUCCACUGGUUGGGUUUCCCACAAACAGAUGGUGCCACCAGCUAUUUGCUAUUUUCAGAACGCAUCAGUCGUUUGCCGUCUGCUAAACGAAGUCUAUAUUCAGUUUAGGUUGAGAGCUUGAGUCGUUUAGAACCCGUUUAGUGGUCGUUUAGUGGAUUUGUGGCACUAGGGUAAUCUUCGCAGAAUAAAUAAGCGACGCAGAAGACGAACGUAACAUCACUUUACGGUAGAAGAUCCGUAGAAAUCGGUAUAAGAUUUGCCUGAUCUCACAGCGCUUCGAGUGAGCACUUAAUCAUUCCAGUUGAAUAAAAGUUCUUCAAAACAGUUAUCGAUUGAUCGAAAUCACAUUAAGGAAAACAUAGGUAAAACAAAUCGAACAGUACAAUAAACGACUGUUACUUUGUAUCGCAUUCGCUCAAUGCGUUGGCGACAUAAAUUUCGUAAUUUUUAUUAACGAUUAUCGUUAAUUUUUAACGACUGUUAAUUUUUAACUGCCGCUCUGGUGGUACAGUCGUCAACUCAUACGACUAAACAUCAUGCCCGUUAUGAGUACAUGCUCCGAAUUGACCGUGCCCCCAUACGCAGGACUGUUUAUCCUGCUAUGUGUCAAUCAAUAAAUCACCUAAAGGCAAACCCACAAGUGAUACGGGGAGGCCUUGACCGAACACAGUUCUUUUGCAAAAGAAGAAUUAAUUUACCUACAGUGGAUCGCCGUUUAUCCGGGCUCAUUGGGUCUCGACCUCGCCCGGAUAUGCGAAUAACACGAAUAAUGAAUCAAACGAUACAUUUGAUGUCAAAUUCUUGUUUUUUUUUAAGUUUAUUUCGUGUGUUUUUCCAAUGAGAAUACAGUGGAGCGCCGUUUACCCGGGCUUCUCAGGACUUGACUUCGCCCGGAUAAGCGAAUAACACGGGUAAUGAGUCAAACUAUAUAUUUUAUCACCAAUUCCUGGUUAUGUUUUGGAAAUUUUUCUUAUUUUUUGAUAAAAAUAACCCAGUUUUUAUUAACUUCAUAUUUUUCCAACGAGAAUAUUUGAAAUUUGCCAUGAAUUAUAGUGUUUUUUGUUAUGACAAUGUGCUCUUAUAACCGCUUUUUCAAAUAUCCUCCUCAUAACGCUAUGUCACUUAUAUAUUGAACUUCAUUUCUCAACAGCACGGAUAAACGGAAAGCCGGAUAAAAGGUACCCGGAUAAACGGCGCUCCACUGUAUUUGAAAUUUGUCAUGUAUUAAAGUGUUUUUUGUAAUGUCAAUCUGCUCAGAUAGAAUUUUUUUUCUAAUAUCCUCAGAACACAAUGCCUUCUUUGUAUUGAACUGUCAUUUCUAAACAGCACGGAUAAACAGACGACCGGAUAAAAGUUACCUUAAUGAACAGCGCUCCACUAUAUUUCUUUAAGCUCUUUCACACCGGACGAAUGUGACAAUUCGCACGUUCGACAAACUUAGCUCGUUGCAAAAUUAGUUAAUGAAAAACAGGCCUUUCGUGAUGAUCGCGCACCAUGCAGGUAUGCAGAAAACACGAACUUUGUCGAUUACGCGUAAAAACCAAAACUGAUUAACUUUAUUUAAAAAAGGAAUUUUAAAACUGUGUCGGUUAAUGAAAAUGUUUCAACACUAGUAAACAAUGUUAUUUAACAUUUUUUAACGUUUUUUGUUAGACCACACGUCAUUUUAACAGUCAAAAUCGCGAGUGCGUCGAGAGUUCGUACCUAUUUUGGAAUAUAGAGCCACAGCCGCAUUGAGCUAAGUUCGUCGAACGUGCGAGUUGUUACAUUCGUCCGAUGUGAAAGAGCUCUUUUGCAAUUCCGGCUAAUAUCAGUCACUGCCUUCAGGCGUUCAGAAGGUUUAGUGGCAGUGCACACAUGCAAUUUAACACAAUAUACCUAAACAUUAACAUAGGAAAUAUAUUGUUUAUGUAGGAUGCCGAUCAACACGUCGGAUGAAUCGCAACCCAACGGUCAAAAGCCGAAGAUUUUAUAUUGACCUUUCACUUUUUCUAUCUGUCUCUCGCUCUAAUUUGAGCGAUUUUCCCCUGAUGAGUGUCCCCGAGCCUCCUCGUGUGGUUGUUGUUGUUGGAAGUUGAAACCGAACCCCCUUCGUGCGCUCUCCAAAUCAGACGAGGAGCAAAAUCGAGUUUUUUUUGCUUGGCCGAAGCGAACGAGAGAAACAGCGAAGAUGAAAAAAGAGUGCUAUGAAAAAAAUCUCAUCCAAACGAGCACGCGCCAACGUUUUAGCCAUGAGAAUGUAUGUGUGAGGUAGGUAUAUUUUGGAUUGUAGUGGUGCUACGUUUCUGCUGUAAAGUUUUUUGUCAUUCUGUGUGGUGUACCAAGUGCCAAGUGCAAGUUUUUUCAAGUGUUUAAGACAAGUGUGUUAAAAUGUCGCAAAAUUGCAGCAAAAGUGGGCAUUUUUAUGCAAAGUGCCGUAAAAUGAUGGACGAGAUUGAACUCUCGUACCAGGAAGCUCUCCAAGAGGCAAACGAUGGGUUUGUCCCGCUGCCAAACAUGGACUUUUCGGAUGACGAAACGGUCCCGGAAGUGCCGCAAGGCCAAGCUACGACAUCAAGCACUGCCGGAACAAGUGCUGAAAACGUCGCGGAUGAUGCUGAUGAUUUCGACCACGGGGAACAUUAUCCGAACGGGGAGGACAGCGACGAUUUUUAUCACGGCGCUUCCGAUGAGAAUGACUCUUAUGAGAUCUUUGACCAUCUAAGUUUGUUGGAUUGUCUUAGAUUCUUUGCAAUUAAGAGUCAGCUCCCCCGUUCGGUGGUCAAUAUGCUACUGGCGAUCCUACGGAAGAAGGUAGAUGCCACUCUUCCAAAAGAUAGCCGGACUUUGGUGCGAACACCUCCCCGUGCUGCUGGCAGCAUUUAUAAAAUCGGGGGAGGUGACUUUUGGUACGGAGGAUUAUCGCCAGUCCUGACCAAGUAUUUUCAAAACAUCGAACCCCGAGACGAUCCUUUCAAGUUAGACGUAUCGGUCGACGGGCUACCGCUACAUAAGGGUGGGCCGACCCAGGUUUGGCCUAUUCUGGUGAAAGCGGUAGACUUGCCUAAGCUUCCACUCAUGUUGGUGGCCGCAUAUAGUGGCCAUACAAAGCCGGCAAGUGUGGAAGAAUUUUUGCGGCCGCUAGUGAAUGAUUUUAAUAUCAUUCAGCGAGGAGGCUUGACUAUCGGCGAUAAAACGUUGCAGUUUCGGGUACGCAAUUUUAUCGCUGAUACACCGGCUCGAGCGUUCAUAUUAGCAACGACGAACCACAACGGAUACGACAGUUGUUUAAAGUGCACUUGCCAUGGCGAGUGGUGUGAAGAGGGAAAAAAAAUUAUUUUUGAUUCCGUCGAUGCUCCCCUUCGUACGGACGAAGGGUUUCGUGGUAGAGUAAUAUUGAACCAUCAUCAGGAGUGGCGUACACCUUUGGAAGAAUUAGAUAAUUUUGAUUUAGUCGAUAACGCUCCCACGUCGGAGCGUGAACACCUGUGUGACGAGGGGUGUACACGUUUUAUGCAACGGGGAUUUAUGUUCGGUAAAUUUCCCCGUAAUAAAAAGUGGACACCUCUCCAAAUGGAAGCUGCGUCUAAAUUUUUAAUGCAGACAAAGCUUCCUACUGAGAUCCAUCGAUCAUUUCGGCUUCUCAGAUAUCACGCCUUUUGGAAAGCUACCGAGUGGCGUAGCUAUCUACAUUAUGCAUCAGUUGUGGUUCUGAAGGACCUGGUUGAUCCAAUUGCCUAUGGUCACUUCCUGCUCUACUUUAGUGCUGUGACAAUUUUUUCGACCAAAUUUCAUCAGCACUUGUGGCUCCGUGCUCGAGACUAUCUUCGCAUAUUUGUGAAGAAUUUCGGCCAAGUCUACGGUCGAAAAUAUUUAACAAGCAACAUCCACCUUCUCGCUCACAUUUAUAAAGAUGUUGAAAAAUUUGGAGCGCUCGACGAUUUUUCGGCCUACGCAACAGAAAACUUUUUGCAAAAUUUUCCACGCUGGGUCCGAGCGGGCACGAAAUGUGUGGAGCAAAUUGCAAACAGAUCAAGCGAUCUAAUGAGCCUUGAUCUGGUUGCUACCCCGCCAGCUCCACAGUAUCCGAUGUUGAAGGCAAAUGGUGUCGGUCUACAUGUGACCGCCGAUUUUGUCUUGCUGCCAAAAUUUCAAGACCAAUGGUUUUUGACCAAGGACAAUGGCAUAGUUAAAUUUUUGAGUGCGAAAACAUCAAGCUCGCACGAUAUCACCGUAGUUGGGAUCCGGUUUUUAACAAUGGCCACGCUUUACGAGAUCUCAGCAGAAGGCGGUGUUAUUGCACCAAUGUCUUCUGCUGAGAUCCACGUUUACCAAACGAUGGAAAACGCGCCGGCUGUGGUGGUGGAGGUUCCAUGGACUGCAAUCAGAUGCAAAAUGGUUGCAGUGAAGCAACCCACUCGUCCUCUUAAUCUCCCUCCCAUUGAUCCUUCACCAAACUCAACAACUCCUUCCGCCAUAGCCUUUUUUCGUCUUCUCCACACCUUUAUUCCUGAUUAAUUUCCUCCCUUCAAUAGAAAAAAAUUGCCUCCACGACUCCCUCGAAGACGACGUGUGGUUGCACAUGGUAAACUUCCACCGAAACUCCGGAUAAUUCGUGCCCAUCCAUCUGUGACAUGGACGAGAAGGUGGACAAAGCUAAUAUUAAGGGGGGGGACGACCUUUUUAACAGCACUACGGGCAAUGUUAGGACAUGUUUGCCGUGCUGGACACUGCGUAUUCGUUUCAGGCCUCCUCCAGGCGAGCUGCCUUUUCCCCGUGGUUAAUGGAACUAAGCGGGUUGGGGUUUUGUUUUGUGUGUUUUUGGUUUUUUUUGCACAAUCAAUUAUAAAUUGUGCUUUUUUCUGUUGGCCUGUUAUAUAAAAGGCAGGCAAUGGUGCCUGGCUGACAUGGCACCUAGUUUUUAUUUUCCUUUUUUUAACUAUAUUGAUUUUUUUUAUAGGUUAGUUUAAGUUUAGGUUGAAUUAUCUUUUCUUUAGGUUGAGUAAGUAGGUUUAAGAUGUAUUUUUACGUUUACAUUUAAGCUUACUUCGAACUUUUUAGUAGUAGUAGUAGUAGUAGUCUUAGCGAUACUAUUGUAGUGUGAAUUUAUAUUAGUUUGAUUGAACUAUUUGUAUACCUCUAGUACCAUAGUUGGUUGCCAGUGAAAAGGAUUUUUUUCUUCUAUUUGGCGGAACGAUCAGCACGUUCCUUUUAUUGUAUAUGGCAUAGCUACGGCUUACGAGGCUUAUAAAGUACCACGCAGCAUAAUAGUCAGUCUUUGCUACGAGUAGGUCACUCCAUACGGGGCUUGAACCAUAGAAUGAUGUGUUGUAAAAUAUUACCAAUG